UACAGAGGUCUCAAGCGUUGUUCGGAUUCAUUGGGCGUAAAGGGUGCGUAGGUGGCGUGGUAAGUCGGGUGUGAAAUUUCGGAGCUUAACUCCGAAACUGCAUUCGAAACUGCCGUGCUUGAGGACUGGAGAGGAGACUGGAAUUUACGGUGUAGCAGUGAAAUGCGUAGAUAUCGUAAGGAAGACCAGUGGCGAAGGCGGGUCUCUGGACAGUUCCUGACACUGAGGCACGAAGGCCAGGGGAGCAAACAGG
rnacentral:rRNA from 1 species